AGUUACCAUCAUUAAGUUGGGGACUCUAGCGAGACUGCCAGUGAUAAACUGGAGGAAGGUGGGGAGUGACGUCAAAUCAUCAUGCCCCUUAUGACCUGGGCUACAAACGUGAUACAAUGGCUGGAACAAAGGGAUGCGAAGCAGUGAUGUGGAGCGAAAACCCAUAAAAACAGUCUCAGUUCGGAUUGAAGUCUGCAACUCGACUUCAUGAAGUCGGAAUCGCUAGUAAUCGCGGAUCAGAACGCCGCGGUGAAUACGUUCUCGGGGUUU
rnacentral:rRNA from 1 species